CGGCGGACGGGGGAGUAACGCGUGGGUAACCUGCCUCAUACAGGGGGAUAACAGUUAGAAAUGACUGCUAAUACCGCAUAAGACCACGGUACCGCAUGGUACAGUGGUAAAAACUCCGGUGGUAUGAGAUGGACCCGCGUCUGAUUAGGUAGUUGGUGGGGUAACGGCCUACCAAGCCGACGAUCAGUAGCCGACCUGAGAGGGUGACCGGCCACAUUGGGACUGAGACACGGCCCAG
rnacentral:rRNA from 1 species